rnacentral:rRNA from 1 species
GGGAGCCCUGACCGAGCAACGCCGCGUGAGUGAAGAAGGUGUUCGGAUCGUAAAGCUCUGUUGUAAGAGAAGAACGAGUGUGAGAGUGGAAAGUUCACACUGUGACGGUAACUUACCAGAAAGGGACGGCUAACUACGUGCCAGCAGCCGCGGUAAUACGUAGGUCCCGAGCGUUGUCCGGAUUUAUUGGGCGUAAAGCGAGCGCAGGCGGUUAGAUAAGUCUGAAGUUAAAGGCUGUGGCUUAACCAUAGUACGCUUUGGAAACUGUUUAACUUGAGUGCAGAAGGGGAGAGUGGAAUUCCAUGUGUAGCGGUGAAAUGCGUAGAUAUAUGGAGGAACACCGGUGGCGAAAGCGGCUCUCUGGUCUGUAACUGACGCUGAGGCUCGAAAGCGUGGGGAGCAAACAGGAUUAGAUACCCUGGUAGUCCACGCCGUAAACGAUGAGUGCUAGGUGUGGGUCCUUCCGGGACUCAGUGCCGCAGCUAACGCAUUAAGCACUCCGCCUGGGGAGUACGAACGC